UUGGUAGAUUCAGCUGGCUAGAGUAUAACCUUAAGAACAGCUAAAGCGUCCAUGUGCCUCAACCCUGACCUGGAGGGACCACCUCUAGAGGCUUAUACCAUUCAAGGACAGUAUGCCAUUCCACAGCCAGAUUUGA
rnacentral:sRNA from 1 species